rnacentral:tRNA from 2 species
GCCGGCGUAGCUCAGCUGGUAGAGCAACGCACUCGUAAUGCGUAGGUCGGUGGUUCGAGUCCACUCGCCGGCA